rnacentral:lncRNA from 1 species
GCUAUUUGUCCGGCUAGCCGGACGAAUAGUACCAGGACUAUUUGUCCGGCCAAUACAAUGCGCAUGUCACUAUACUAUUUGUGUGUGCGUGUAAUAUUAUCUUCAGCAUCACCAGGGGGUAGCACAUGUUUAAAAUCUUUAGUGUUAGGGCCUAAUCUUGUUACUGGUAAUUGAAAUUGUUGUUUUCUUCAUACUAGUAUAUAGUCCAAUGUGGAUAACGAAUAAUUAGAAUAAAAUCAUAUAUAUCCCAUAUUUUUUAUAUAAGAAGAGAGAAGAAUUUACUUGUAAAUCAAACUUGGGUAGUGUUUGACUCGAGCAUUUUAAGUUAACGUAAAGGAUUUUGUCUAGCUGAAAAAGGUACAAAAUUAUUAUGUCUGUAGCUGUCAAAGAGAAUUAUAGACCCCUUGACAUAAAGUUAUCCAUAUUUUGGGUGAAAGGUGAGAGAUUUUUCUAUAAUGCCCCCCCCCCC